GACGAACGCUGGCGGCGUGCCUAAUACAUGCAAGUCGAACGCUUUUUCUUUCACCGGAGCUUGCUCCACCGAAAGAAAAAGAGUGGCGAACGGGUGAGUAACACGUGGGUAACCUGCCCAUCAGAAGGGGAUAACACUUGGAAACACGUGCUAAUACCGUAUAACACUAUUUUCCGCAUGGAAGAAAGUUGAAAGGCGCUUUUGCGUCACUGAUGGAUGGACCCGCGGUGCAUUAGCUGGUUGGUGAGGUAACGGCUCACCAAGGGAACGAUGCAUAGCCGACCUGAGAGGGUGAUCGGCCACACUGGGACUGAGACACGGCCCAGACUCCUACGGGAGGUAGCAGUAGGGAAUCUUCGGCAAUGGACGAAAGUCUGACCGAGCAACGCCGCGUGAGUGAAGAAGGUUUUCGGAUCGUAAAACUCUGUUGUUAGAGAAGAACAAGGAUGAGAGUAAAACGUUCAUCCCUUGACGGUAUCUAACCAGAAAGCCACGGCUAACUACGUGCCAGCCGCCGCCGUAA
rnacentral:rRNA from 1 species